GAUGAACGCUAGCGUUAGGCUUAACACAUGCAAGUCGAGGGGCAGCACAAGGUAGCUUGCUAUCUGGGUGGCGACCGGCGCACGGGUGCGUAACGCGUAUGCAACUUGCCCUAUACAGGAGGAUAACCCGUCGAAAGACGGACUAAUACUGCGUAUGCUCACAACUUGGCAUCAAGUGGUGAGGAAAGAAAUUCGGUAUAGGAUAGGCAUGCGUCCCAUUAGCUUGUUGGUGAGGUAACGGCUCACCAAGGCAACGAUGGGUAGGGGAACUGAGAGGUUUAUCCCCCACACUGGUACUGAGACACGGACCAGACUCCUACGGGAGGCAGCAGUGAGGAAUAUUGGUCAAUGGGCGCGAGCCUGAACCAGCCAAGUCGCGUGAAGGAUGACUGUCUUAUGGAUUGUAAACUUCUUUUAUACGGGAAUAACAAGAGUCACGUGUGACUCCCUGCAUGUACCGUAUGAAUAAGCAUCGGCUAACUCCGUG
rnacentral:rRNA from 1 species